AGACUAUCCAAGAACUCAAGCUGUACAAAGGCAUGGAACUGAUUUCCUUUCCCGUCAAACUGAUUGGUGAGGGGAGAAGCUCUCCCAAAUUUCAGAUGUAAGAUCCAGCCCAAACGUUUCAAGAGGUUAGCAAAACACACAUCAGAAGGAACCUCAACAGAGCAGCAUGUGAAGAAGGGUCAGCCGAAGAACAACACAAAGAAUAG